rnacentral:misc_RNA from 1 species
CUGAAAUCACAUUGGUUAACAGUUCUA